rnacentral:lncRNA from 1 species
GACUUGUGGAAGUGGAAAAGCACUGGUGAGGGCAGUCUCUGAAAUCAUUUACUCCAGUGUACAAGUCAGCUCUCAGCGGUCCUGGCCUCUCCCAGGAGGCUGUGCGGCCGGCAGGAUGGAUCUUUAGCAUCUCCUACUCCUGGGCUGGCCUGUUCCUUGCCCUGGGUCCUCCCAAUGUGUUGAAUGCCUCAGCUGUCCAGAGGAGCACCACACCCAGGCCUGCCCUCCUCGGAAUGUGGCUGUGACCCGAGAGCAAUGUUUCUGCCCAUCUUUCUGUUUACUUCUCCUAAGCCUCGGUGACCUUAGCAGGAGGCUGAGGUGGGAGAACCACUUGAGCUCGUGAGUUUGACUGCAGCCUGGAGAACACGUACUGGAGAUUGAACCUACCCAGCGCUAGGCAGGCUCUGUGCCACUGAGCUACAUCCCUGACCCCUGCAACACACCCAUAUUUUAAAAAAUGGGCACAGGACUUGAACAGACAUUACUCCAAGUGGCAGGCGAAAACAGUAAGAGGUGGUUUGAUUCUUCCAUUUUGACUCUAGACCACAAACAAUAAAGACUUCCAAGUCUCCUUGGAUCCGUGUAACAGAAAAUUGUUCGAUGUGGUGGGCAGAAGGCCCGGAAGCUGUGGCUGGCCUGGGAGAGUGACUGGCCCGAGCUUCCCCUCCCGACCACCCUGCAGAAGAGAAGUCACCGUCCCUGCAUGGCAGAGCUGUGUUACUACCAAACACAAGUGCGAGGAAGGCUUUUUCUCUGCCAGGGUAACUGCACGGAGCCUUCACUUCUCCCUGCCGUGGACAGCCAGCCGGCCAGGCUCCUCGGAGCUCUCAGUUCGGCCUUGACCUUGGCCCCUGUCCUCGCUAACCGGGUGUGACCCAAGUUUUAGCAAGAAUCUGAUCGAGCUCCAUCUCUCCCCUGUUGUGAUGCUCCUAUUCCAAGAGCCCCAAAUAAAGUCAUCGUUAUUUAACAAGUGUCAAAUUAAUUUUUGAAUACAUUUCAGCAGGAAGCUUAGAGGUUUUAAAAUUUUUUUAGCAUUGCAGAAGCAACAGUUGGGGGAGUGGGUCAUAGUUACUGGCAUAGUAGCCAAUAAUCUAGCCAACCAUUGAACUGUGUUCUGGUAAAU